CUUUUAACGUUAUUUUACUU
rnacentral:snRNA from 1 species